GACGUAGGGUCCAAGCGUUAUCCGGAUUUACUGGGCGUAAAGCGCGCGUAGGCGGUCUGUUAAGUGCACAAGUGAAAGCUCCGGGCUCAACUCGGAAAUUGCUUUGCAUACUGGCAGGCUGGAGGGACGCAGAGGUCUGUGGAAUUCCUGGUGUAACGGUGAAAUGUGUUGAUAUCAGGAGGAACACCCAUGGCGAAGGCAGCAGACUGGGCGUUUCCUGACGCUGAGGCGCGAAAGCUAGGGUAGCAAACGGG
rnacentral:rRNA from 1 species